GGAUCGCAAGACCUUGCGCUUUUGGAGCGGCCGAUGUCUGAUUAGCUAGUUGGUGAGGUAAAGGCUUACCAAGGCUUCGAUCAGUAGCUGGUCUGAGAGGACGACCAGCCACACUGGGACUGAGACACGGCCCAGACUCCUACGGGAGGCAGCAGUGGGGAAUUUUGGACAAUGGGGGAAACCCUGAUCCAGCCAUGCCGCGCGAGUGAAGAAGGCCUUCGGGUUGUAAAGCUCUUUCAGCCGGAACGAAAAGGUUAUGGUUAAUACCCGUGACUAAUGACGGUACCGGAAGAAGAAGCACCGGCUAACUACGUGCCAGCAGCCGCGGUAAUACGUAGGGUGCGAGCGUUAAUCGGAAUUACUGGGCGUAAAGCGUGCGCAGGCGGUUUUGUAAGUCAGAUGUGAAAUCCCCGGGCUCAACCUGGGAACUGCGUUUGAAACUAC
rnacentral:rRNA from 1 species